rnacentral:rRNA from 1 species
GAGUUUGAUCCUGGCUCAGGACGAACGCUGGCGGCGUGCUUAACACAUGCAAGUCAAGGGGGCCCAGCAAUGGGCAACCGGCGAACGGGUGCGUAACACGUGAGCAACCUACCGAACUGUGGGGGAUAGCCGGCCUAACGGCCGAGUAAUACCGCAUACGCUUUCGAUGAGGCAUUUCAUUGAAAGGAAACCUACGGGACAGAUCGAGGGGCUCGCGGCCUAUCAGCUAGUUGGCGAGGUAACGGCUCACCAAGGCGACGACGGGUAGCUGGUCUGAGAGGAUGGCCAGCCACAUUGGGACUGAGAUACGGCCCAGACUCCUACGGGAGGCAGCAGUGGGGAAUCUUGCGCAAUGGCCUAACGGCUGACGCAGCGACGCCGCGUGUGGGAUGAAGCUCCUCGGAGUGUAAACCACUGUUGCCCGGGACGAAUAGCUCGAUUAAUCGAGCCUGACGGUACCGGGUGAGGAAGCACCGGCUAACUCCGUGCCAGCAGCCGCGGUAGUCGGGCCC